UUAAGGUAGUACCCAACACUUUCACUGAAAUUAAUUUGGCUCGUUUAAUUUUCAUAAAAUCUUGUCAAAGUAUUUACAUUGACCCUUUAACAAAAAUAUCAAAAUAUCAAAAAUUUUGAACCAACCAAUUAAUCAGAAAAAUUACACUGGUUAUAUAGCAGUUUGACAAACACUAAUUUUGAUCAUUGAGAAGCCUAAUAUUCCCUUAACAACACAACGUAGAAAAACGUUUAGCUGAUUUUAAAGAGUUGUCUCCCUGUAGUGUUAGGUACCACAUUAAAAAUCUAGUUAAAAUCAUACUUAUCAAUCACCUAUUUUGUCUAAGCAGAUUUUAAGUUAUAUUGGUUUGUUUUUGUAAUGUUCUACAUGAUUUAUUAUUGUGUGGGUUAUUGAGUUAUAAGUGUGCACAUAGAAAAUAUAUCCGUCUUGUGCUGUUGUAGUAAUAUAUUUCUUGUGAUCACUAAUUCCUUGAUGGUUAUAUUAAACCACGAGAGUAUGUUUACAUGUUUGAACGUAUCUCAUAGAUAUUCAUAACUGUACAUACAAAAUAUUUCCAGCGAUUUGUAAAAUAACAUUUCAGAUACGCUCUCUCUUAAAAUUUGCUAUAAUAA
rnacentral:lncRNA from 1 species